rnacentral:rRNA from 1 species
GAUGAACGCUGGCGGCGUGCCUAAUACAUGCAAGUCGAGCGAACGGACGAGACGCUUGCUUCUCUGAUGUUAGCGGCGGACGGGUGAGUAACACGUGGAUAACCUACCUAUAAGACUGGGAUAACUUCGGGAAACCGGAGCUAAUACCGGAUGAUAUUUUGAACCGCAUGGUUCAAAAGUGAAAGACGGUCUUGCUGUCACUUAUAGAUGGAUCCGCGCUGCAUUAGCUAGUUGGUAAGGUAACGGCUUACCAAGGCAACGCUGCAUAGCCGACCUGAGAGGUGGAUCGGCCACACUGGAACUGAGACACGGUCCAGACUCCUACGGGAGGCAGCAGUGGGGAAUCUUCGGCAAUGGGCGAAAGCCUGACGGAGCAACGCCGCGUGAGUGAUGAAGGUCUUCGGAUCGUAAAACUCUGUUAUUAGGGAAGAACAUAUGUGGAAUUAAAUGUGGACAUCUUGACGGUACCUAAACAGAAAGCCACGGCUAACUACGUG